rnacentral:rRNA from 1 species
AUUGAACGCUGGCGGCAGGCCUAACACAUGCAAGUCGAACGGUAACAGGAAGAAGCUUGCUUCUUUGCUGACGAGUGGCGGACGGGUGAGUAAUGUCUGGGAAACUGCCUGAUGGAGGGGGAUAACUACUGGAAACGGUAGCUAAUACCGCAUAACGUCGCAAGACCAAAGAGGGGGACCUUCGGGCCUCUUGCCAUCGGAUGUGCCCAGAUGGGAUUAGCUAGUAGGUGGGGUAACGGCUCACCUAGGCGACGAUCCCUAGCUGGUCUGAGAGGAUGACCAGCCACACUGGAACUGAGACACGGUCCAGACUACUACGGGAGGCAGCAGUGGGGAAUAUUGCACAAAGGGCGCAAGCCUGAUGCAGCCAUGCCGCGUGUAUGAAGAAGGCCUUCGGGUUGUAAAGUACUUUCAGCGGGGAGGAAGGGAGUAAAGUUAAUACCUUUGCUCAUUGACGUUACCCGCAGAAGAAGCACCGGCUAACUCCGUG